rnacentral:rRNA from 1 species
CAGCAGCCGCGGGAAUACGUAGGUCCCGAGCGUUGUCCGGAUUUAUUGGGCGUAAAGGGAGCGCAGGCGGUUUAGUAAGUCUGAAGUUAAAGGCAUUGGCUCAACCAAUGUAUGCUUUGGAAACUGUUAGACUUGAGUGCAGAAGGGGAGAGUGGAAUUCCAUGUGUAGCGGUGAAAUGCGUAGAUAUAUGGAGGAACACCGGUGGCGAAAGCGGCUCUCUGGUCUGUCACUGACGCUGAGGCUCGGAAGCGUGGGUAGCGAACAGGAUUAGAUACCCCCGUAGUCCCUGUCUCUUAUACA